rnacentral:lncRNA from 1 species
GGCGGAUGGGCUUGGUGGCGAGCAGUGAGAGAGGCAGAGGCGGGCUCCGAAGGAGCUCUCACCUGAAACACUUGGUGAAACAUGCCAGGGCUCUCUGGAACCGGCUCCUCCAAGACCCUCGCAGAAGAGCAGGUUCCCUGGGCAAGCCUGUGCCACCGGAUGGGUCCUCCGUGGCGUCAGACACAGCCACCCAUUCCUCAGGGUCUUUUUGCAGCCCUUUCACAUUCUGAAAGACAGACUAAAUAGCCAGAUCCUAAUGCUCCCUCCCAUCCCUGGCUUCCUUCACCCCAUCCAGCAACUGUUGUGUGCGUCUCUGGCCCUCUUGCAGGGGCUGGGGAUGCAGCAGUGACCUGCACAGACCAAAGCCCAGCCUCCUAGGGGACAUUCCAGGACAAUGGAGGGAAGCCAGACUCACCAGGUCAGCAGGUGGAAGGAAGGGAGUGAAGAUCAUGCUUCCAGGAGUGUGUGAUGUGCCGGUAGGGACCGACAGGACUUCGUUGAAGACACCGGCGAAGCUCGUCACUCUGCCGGGUGCAAAGAGGCCGAGGGCCUGCCCCCUCCACGCCCCAUUCAGCCCCUCUGCCCCUGCCCCAUCGUCCCUCCCUCCUACAGCCUUGUGCUCCAGCAAGGGAUACAUUUCUGGUAUGUCACAUUCCGUCUGUUCCUGUGUUUCUUACUCCCACUCCUCCAAUCUUUCUUUCCUUUGUUUCUUCCUCCUGGCCCUCCCAGCAGGCUGGAGUCACGCUUCUGCUUGCUGAGCAGAACAGCCCCAAGGGUCCUCCUCGAGAGAACAUGAUGUGUAGAGGUCUUCUACAGUUGGACCUUGUAGAUGAAAUUGUAAGAGUG